CGGCGGCCUACACAUGCAGUCGAGCGAGAAGCCACCUUCGGGUGGUGGGCAGCGGCGGACGGGUGAGUAACGCGUAGGGAUCUGCCCAGGAGUGGGGGACAACCACUGGAAACGGUGGCUAAUACCGCAUACGCCCAUGAAAUAUGAUGUUUCAUGGGGAAAGAUUUAUUGCUCCUGGAUGUACCUGCGUCGGAUUAGCUUGUUGGUGAGGUAACGGCUUACCAAGGCUACGAUCCGUAGCUGGUUUGAGAGGAUGAUCAGCCACACUGGGACUGAGACACGGCCCAGACUCCUACGGGAGGCAGCAGUGGGGAAUAUUGCACAAUGGGCGAAAGCCUGAUGCAGCCAUGCCGCGUGAGUGAAGAAGGCCUUAGGGUUGUAAAGCUCUUUCAACGGUGAAGAUGAUGACGGUAGCCGUAGAAGAAGCCCCGGCUAACUCCGUGCCAGCAGCCGCGGUAAUACGGAGGGGGCAAGCGUUGUUCGGAAUUACUGGGCGUAAAGGGCACGUAGGCGGCGAUGCGGGUCAGGUGUGAAAGCCCCGGGCUUAACCUGGGAACUGCACUUGAAACUGCAUUGCUUGAGGACGGAAGAGGAGAAUGGAAUUCCCAGUGUAGAGGUGAAAUUCGUAGAUAGUGGGAAGAACACCAGUGGCGAAGGCGAUUCUCUGGUCCGUAACUGACGCUG
rnacentral:rRNA from 1 species